rnacentral:rRNA from 1 species
GUCUACGGCCAUGCCACCCUGAACAAGCCCGAUCCUGUCUGAUCUCCGAAGCUAAGCAGGGUCGGGCCUGGUUAGUACUUGGAUGGGAGACCACCUAGGAAGACCAGGUUCUGUAGGCG